UACGGAGGGGGCUAGCGUUGUUCGGAAUUACUGGGCGUAAAGGGCUCGUAGGUGGCCAACUCAGUCGGAUGUGAAAUCCCCAGGCUCAACUUGGGAACUGCAUCCGAUACUGGAUGGCUUGAAUCCGGGAGAGGGAUGCAGAAUUCCAGGUGUAGCGGUGAAAUGCGUAGAUAUCUGGAGGAAUACCGGUGGCGAAGGCGGCAUCCUGGACCGGAAUUGACACUGAGGAGCGAAAGCCAGGGGAGCAAACGGG
rnacentral:rRNA from 1 species